GGAAAAUAUUCUUCCAAGGGACUUUUGAAACACUCAGGGCAGAAGUUAUUUGUGAUUGAUUGGUACUCAUUUGUAAAGGAAUACUCCCACACAAUAAAAACACUAAAACUGAACAAAGGAGUCGUCGUCGUCCCCCCGCAUGGGUAAAAAGCACACACAAAGUAUUCCACAACAAUAACCAGAAAAGAAAAAAAAAAGUCCAAUAAGAAAAAUGCAGUCCAGAUUUAGCUACCAAAAAGGCUGCAAAAGAAAAAGAUGGAGCAUCAAGCUCUACAUUUGCCACCACACGGAACAGAAGUCCUCCAGGAGGCACUGGAGGCAUCAGGCGAUGUCUCCUACUCCACCAUCAAACCUGGAGGGGAGAUCCCAGGAAACCUGGGAAAGGACACAGACCGGCUUUCAGGGACAAGGAGUACAGCCUAGAUGAGUCCGCAUCACAGCUACCCCUUUGUAUAUGAUAACCGAUAAGUAUUUCCGACGUCGGCUGCCCCAGAAGUGCCUUAAAACAAUGCACACGGAACAACUCAAUGGAGGGUAGCAUCCCCCUCAGGCCGACCUGCCUGACUCAAGUGCAAAGUGAAAGAAAAAAACACUGCAGCAAAACUAGAAAAAACACACUGUG